rnacentral:rRNA from 1 species
CCCUUAGAUGUUCGGGGCUGCACACGCGCUACACUGGAGGAAACAGCGUGUAUUGUCCUGGUCCGAAAGGACUGGGUAAACCUGUGAAACUUCUCCGUGCUUGGGAUAGCGGAUUGAAAUUGUUUCGCUUCAACGAGGAAUACCUUGUAAGCGCGAGUCAUCAUCUCGCGCUGAAUACGUCCCUGCCCUUUGUACACACCGCCCGUCGCUCCUACCGAUUGAGUGGUCCGGUGAGGCUUCGGGAGAGCUAAAUGGAUUGUGUUUCACAAACUAUUUGGCUUGAACUUAGUCAAACCUUACUACUUAGAGGAAGGAGAAGUCGUAACA